GUAAUGAUUGAGAACUCAAAUGGGUAUGCACAAAUGCUCAAGAAAACAACCGUAAUGCAAAGAAAUAGUAGGUUCCAACGAUUUGGGAUGAAUUUGAGGAAGAAAAUGAUUGAAUGAAAUAGGAACAGAAACAGUUACCCAAAUGAUGAGACUGAUUCGGUGAUCCAACCCAAAUUUCUUAGUAAAAUUUCAGAGAUAUUGCAGCCUGCGAAUCACCUAUGUGGGAGUGAGAGAUUUGAAGCGGACAAGAUCGGAGUUGGUUAAAAGCAGCACCUGAAAUAAGAAACCGGAAAGCAGGCUCUUUUCAAGGUGUAAUAUGUAUAUGCUGUACAAUUUUAUUGCUAGUUGGAACAGUUUG
rnacentral:lncRNA from 1 species